AAGGUUUCGGAGUUGAUCGCUUGAAAAAAAUUUUUUAAGAGGAAAGUCCGGACUUCACAGGGGAAGGAGACAGUUAACGACUGUUAAGAGAAAUCUUAAGGAAAGUGCCACAGAAAAUAGACCGCCAUUUUAGGUAAGGGUGAAAAGGUAGUGUAAGAGACUACCGGUAAUUUAAGCAAUUAAAUUAGCCUGGUAAACCCCUCCUGAAGCAAGAAUAAGUAGAAAAGUGAUAAAAGGUUCCCCGCCUUUACUUUGAAGGGUAAUUCGCUAAAGUUAAUAAGUGAUUAUUAAUUUAGAUAAAUGAUUGACUAAUACAGAAUCCGGCUUAUACCGAGACCUAAUUU
rnacentral:RNase_P_RNA from 1 species